UUAUGCUAGCGUUGGUUUACUUUGAAAAACAGUCGUUGAAAAUUAAAGGGAGAUUUAUUGAACUUUUGCUUGCUAUCUUAAUAAAAACCCCGUAAAAUAUAGUCUAUUGCGACAUUAAUCGGUGUUUAAAACUUUUCUGAAAUUAAUUCAUAAAAAGGGUUGACCCGGGUCGUUAUUCUUGGUAUUAUAUUUCUUGUCGUUAAGAGCGAUAUGCAACAUUACUCAUUAUUAUGAAUAUUCAAAUUGAUGUGAGCAUUUACAUUGAAUAGUUAUUCAAAAUAAUUUAUAAAAAGAUGUUGACAGCUUGUUCUGAUGAUGAUAAACUUUAAUAGUUGCGUUGAGGUAAUCAACGAACGAUUUAGACCUUUGAAAACUGAACAAAGUUUCGACGAAUCAAAUGUGUAGGGUCUCUUGAUUUUGAAUCAAGAGCAAAACAUUUGCGAAGUCAAUUCGCUAGCAAAUAAAUUUUAGUACAACAUUAAAUGAGCUUUUUAGAACUCAUCAUUAAUUUGAGAGUUUGAUCCUGGCUCAGGACGAACGCUGGCGGCGUGCCUAAUACAUGCAAGUCGAACGAACUCUGGUAUUGAUUGGUGCUUGCAUCAUGAUUUACAUUUGAGUGAGUGGCGAACUGGUGAGUAACACGUGGGAAACCUGCCCAGAAGCGGGGGAUAACACCUGGAAACAGAUGCUAAUACCGCAUAACAACUUGGACCGCAUGGUCCGAGCUUGAAAGAUGGCUUCGGCUAUCACUUUUGGAUGGUCCCGCGGCGUAUUAGCUAGAUGGUGGGGUAACGGCUCACCAUGGCAAUGAUACGUAGCCGACCUGAGAGGGUAAUCGGCCACAUUGGGACUGAGACACGGCCCAAACUCCUACGGGAGGCAGCAGUAGGGAAUCUUCCACAAUGGACGAAAGUCUGAUGGAGCAACGCCGCGUGAGUGAAGAAGGGUUUCGGCUCGUAAAACUCUGUUGUUAAAGAAGAACAUAUCUGAGAGUAACUGUUCAGGUAUUGACGGUAUUUAACCAGAAAGCCACGGCUAACUACGUGCCAGCAGCCGCGGUAAUACGUAGGUGGCAAGCGUUGUCCGGAUUUAUUGGGCGUAAAGCGAGCGCAGGCGGUUUUUUAAGUCUGAUGUGAAAGCCUUCGGCUCAACCGAAGAAGUGCAUCGGAAACUGGGAAACUUGAGUGCAGAAGAGGACAGUGGAACUCCAUGUGUAGCGGUGAAAUGCGUAGAUAUAUGGAAGAACACCAGUGGCGAAGGCGGCUGUCUGGUCUGUAACUGACGCUGAGGCUCGAAAGUAUGGGUAGCAAACAGGAUUAGAUACCCUGGUAGUCCAUACCGUAAACGAUGAAUGCUAAGUGUUGGAGGGUUUCCGCCCUUCAGUGCUGCAGCUAACGCAUUAAGCAUUCCGCCUGGGGAGUACGGCCGCAAGGCUGAAACUCAAAGGAAUUGACGGGGGCCCGCACAAGCGGUGGAGCAUGUGGUUUAAUUCGAAGCUACGCGAAGAACCUUACCAGGUCUUGACAUACUAUGCAAAUCUAAGAGAUUAGACGUUCCCUUCGGGGACAUGGAUACAGGUGGUGCAUGGUUGUCGUCAGCUCGUGUCGUGAGAUGUUGGGUUAAGUCCCGCAACGAGCGCAACCCUUAUUAUCAGUUGCCAGCAUUAAGUUGGGCACUCUGGUGAGACUGCCGGUGACAAACCGGAGGAAGGUGGGGAUGACGUCAAAUCAUCAUGCCCCUUAUGACCUGGGCUACACACGUGCUACAAUGGAUGGUACAACGAGUUGCGAACUCGCGAGAGUAAGCUAAUCUCUUAAAGCCAUUCUCAGUUCGGAUUGUAGGCUGCAACUCGCCUACAUGAAGUCGGAAUCGCUAGUAAUC
rnacentral:rRNA from 2 species